rnacentral:rRNA from 1 species
CCUACGGGUGGCAGCAGUGGGGAAUAUUGGUCAAUGGGCGAAAGCCUGAACCAGCCAAGUAGCGUGAAGGAUGACUGCCCUACGGGUUGUAAGCUUCUUUUAUAAAGGAAUAAAGUGAGGCAAGUAUGCCUUUUUGUAUGUACUUUAUGAAUAAGGAUCGGCUAACUCCGUGCCAGCAGCCGCGGUAAUACGGAGGAUCCGAGCGUUAUCCGGAUUUAUUGGGUUGAAAGGGAGCGUAGAUGGGUUUUUAAGUCAGUUGUGAAAGUCUGCGGCUUAACCGUAAAAUCGCAUUUGAUACUGGCAGUCUUGAGUACAGUUGAGGUAGGCGGAAUUCGUGGUGUAGCGGUGAAAUGCUUAGAUAUCACGAAGAACUCCGAUUGCGAAGGCAGCUUACUAA